UACAGAGGGUGCAAGCGUUAAUCGGAAUUACUGGGCGUAAAGCGCGCGUAGGUGGUUUGUUAAGUCUGAUGUGAAAUCCCAGGGCUCAACCUUGGAAUGGCACCGGAUACUGGCUAGCUAGAGUAUGGUAGAGGGGUGUGGAAUUUCCUGUGUAGCGGUGAAAUGCGUAGAUAUAGGAAGGAACAUCAGUGGCGAAGGCGGCCAUCUGGGACAACACUGACGCUGAAGCACGAAAGCGUGGGGAGCAAACAGG
rnacentral:rRNA from 1 species